AACCAGGAGUAGAAGUGCGAACAUCAAAGACACAGCAAAGCCGUUUCCUUUUUUAAAAAAAUCAAAGGAAAGUUAACAUUAAUUGGGAGCACACAGGUUCUUAUGUCAUAGAGUAUUCCUGUUGGAUUUGAAACCAGAUUCUUUUUCUUUGAGAGCAAGGGUACAUUGUUAGGGCUUACGCCAAAGAAGAACGUCUUACAUUACGUUCUUCUAACACCCGGCAGCGAACCCAUUCUGUGCCAGCUGGAGACCAUUUUCUAAUGAAUCCAAAUAGCACCAUUCAUCUACAAAAAUCAUCCGACUGCUUCUGCUCCUACCGAUUGUGAUAUCUCUUCCACAACUGUUGCGUGUGUUAAUCCAGUUCAUAAAAAUUAUGAUAAGGAGAGGUGACAAAAUCCACCCCAGUAAAAAUUCAACAUCUACGUUGAAAGAUUUCGACUUGGCACCAUCUACAGCAACACAAACAUCUCGGCAUUUGUAUAGGGACGUCACGACAAUCGGAAGCCGCCCGUUAAUCCCAAACAAUGCAGCUCAACAUAUGGAAAAUAUAUUUGCAACGCAGGAGUGGAUCUGUUUGUUCAACCAAAUGUCGAAAGCAAUGGAUAUGUUUUGGUCUUUCUCGAAGAGUACCCAAUUCAGUUGGCCACACUGAUAAUGAUAAAAUAUAUAUGGAAAAUGGAGGAAUGCUGUGACGCUGAUUAUAGAAAUAAAAUAUA
rnacentral:lncRNA from 1 species